UGCCAGCCGCCGCGGUAAUACGGAGGGUGCGAGCGUUAAUCGGAAUCACUGGGCGUAAAGCGCGCGUAGGCGGCGCGAUAAGUCAGGCGUGAAAGCCCUCGGCUCAACCGGGGAAUUGCGCUUGAUACUGUCGUGCUUGAGUCUCGGAGAGGGUGGCGGAAUUCCAGGUGUAGGAGUGAAAUCCGUAGAUAUCCGGAGGAACACCAAACGCGAAGGCAUUCUGCUGGUCAUUACCUGACGCUGAGGAACGAAAGCGUGGGGAGCGAACGGGAUUAGAUA
rnacentral:rRNA from 1 species